rnacentral:rRNA from 1 species
UGAGUAACCUGCCCUUAACUCUGGGAUAAGCCUGGGAAACUGGGUCCAAUACCGGAUAUGACUCCUCAUCGCAUGGUGGGGGGUGGAAAGCUUUAUUGUGGUUUUGGAUGGACUCGCGGCCUAUCAGCUUGUUGGUGAGGUAAUGGCUCACCAAGGCGACGACGGGUAGCCGGCCUGAGAGGGUGACCGGCCACACUGGGACUGAGACACGGCCCAGACCUCCGUACGGGGAGGCAG